CUAUAGGAAAUUGUUAGUGGCAGACGGGUGAGUAAUGCGUAGGAAUCUACCUAGUAGUACGGAAUAGCCAUUAGAAAUGGUGGGUAAUACUGUAUAAUCCCCGAGGGGGAAAGAUUUAUCGCUAUUAGAUGAGCCUACGUUAGAUUAGCUAGUUGGUGAGGUAAUGGCUUACCAAGGCUAUGAUCUAUAGCUGGUCUGAGAGGACGAUCAGCCACACUGGAACUGAGAUACGGUCCAGACUCCUACGGGAGGCAGCAGUGGGGAAUAUUGGACAAUGGGCGAAAGCCUGAUCCAGCUAUGCCGCG
rnacentral:rRNA from 1 species